GAUUAAGAUACUAAGAGUAUGUGGGGAAUGCCUUGGCACAGAUAGGCGAAGAAGGACGUAGCAGGCUGCGAUAAGCCUCGGGGAGCCGCCAAGCGGGCUUAGAUCCGAGGAUUUCCGAAUGGGGAAACCUUAUACGGUAAACCCGUAUAGUCCAUGAAUGAAUUCAUAGUUCAUGGUCGCUAACUCAGGGAAGUGAAACAUCUCAGUACCUGAAGGAAAAGAAAACAAAAGUGAUUCCCUAAGUAGUGGUGAGCGAAAGGGGAAGAGCCUAAACCGAGAUGUAUGUAAGGCUGCAACCGUUGUACAUCCGGUGUCGAGGGACCUGAUAGACCAAGUGCAGUGAGGUCAAAAGGUUACAAACUGUUUGAUUAGCAGAACUUGUCUGGAAUGGCAGGCCAAAGAAGGUGAAAGCCCGGUAUGCAAAAAUCAAACAGCCUUUUUCAGGUAUCCCAAGUACCACGGGACACGGGAAAUCCUGUGGGAAUUCGGGAGGACCACCUCCUAAGGCUAAAUACUCAUCUGUGACCGAUAGUGAACUAGUACCGUGAGGGAAAGGUGAAAAGAACCCCUGGCGGGGAGUGAAAUAGAAUCUGAAACCACAUACUUACAAUCAGUUGGAGGGCUACAUUUCGGGCAACCGAAAUAUGCCUGACAGCGUACCUUUUGCAUAAUGGACCGGCGAGUUACUCUAUGUUGCGAGGUUAAGUGAAAGUAAUCACGGAACCGAAGCGAAAGCGAGUCCGAAUAGGGCGUUUAGUAGCAUGGAGUAGACCCGAAGCUGAACGAGCUAUCCAUGGCCAGAGUGAAGUCGGGGUAACACCCGAUGGAGGCUCGAACUAGUAACCCUUUAAAAGGUUUUGGAUGAGCUGUGGAUGGGAGUGAAAGGCUUAACAAGUUCAGUGAUAGCUGGUUCUCCCCGAAAUAGCUUUAGGGCUAGCCUCGGAUGGUCAGUAUUGGGGGUAGAGCUCUGAAAAGGUUAGGGUGUCACAAGCAUACCGACCCUUAUCAAACUACGAAUCCUAAUACUCAAAGUCCGGGAGUCAGGCAGUGGGGGCUAAGCUUCAUUGCCGAGAGGGAAACAACCCAGACCGUCAGUUAAGGUCCCAAAAUAUAGGCUAAGUGGUAAAGGAUGUGAAAUUACCCAGACAGCCAGGAUGUUGGCUUAGAAGCAGCCAUACAUUUAAAGAGUGCGUAAUAGCUCACUGGUCGAGUGGUUUUGCGCCUAAGAUUUAACGGGGCUAAAGCCUAUUACCGAAACUGCGGAACAAGUUUACUUGUUCGUAGGGGAGCGUUCUGUUGACGUUGAAGCGGUAUCGCAAGGGGCCGUGGAGUUAACAGAAGUGAAAAUGCCGGUAUGAGUAGUGAUAAAGCGGGCGAGAAACCCGCUCACCGAAAAUCCAAGGUUUCCUGGGGAAGGUUAAUCCUCCCAGGGUUAGUCGGUGCCUAAGAUGAGGCCGAAAGGCGUAAUCGAUGGACAACAGGUUAAUAUUCCUGUACCACCAUUGUUUCGUUUGACUGAAGUGGGGGUGCAGAAGGGUAGACCUACCAGUUAGUGGAUAUACUGGACCAAGCAGGUAGGAGGAAGGAGUAGGCAAAUCCGCUCCUUCAUAACUCCGAGAUGUGAUGGCGAGCUCAUUAGAGCGAAGUGGUUAAUCCCAUGCUGACUAGAAAAGCCACGUAGGAAGAAAUGAUGGUGACCGUACCGUAAACCGACACAGGUGGAUGAGGAGAGAAUCCUAAGGUGCUCGAGUUAUCUCUCGUUAAGGAACUCGGCAAUUUACCCCCGUAACUUCGGGAAAUGGGGGACCCGACUUGGUGAAGGAUUUACUCCGUAAGCUAAGUUGGGUCGCAGAGAAAUGGCUCAUGCGACUGUUUAUCAAAAACACAGGACUCUGCAAAGUCGUGAAGACGACGUAUAGGGUCUGACACCUGCCCGGUGCCGGAAGGUUAAGGGAAGAGGUUAGGUCAAGCAAUUGGUCGAAGCUUUGAACCGAAGCCCCGGUAAACGGCGGCCGUAACUAUAGAUGUGGACCACUGUAGUUGUAAAAUUUGGCUAUAUGCUGGAAAAUCCGGUGUAUCCCGGUCUACUCGCUCUUGAAAUAAGAGAGCAGUGACAAUGAUUCGGGUGCGGACAAUCAGCAGGAAAGACUUUUAGGAGGUCUCCAUGAAAAAUGUUCCAGUAGAUAUAGGUUUUUAUCUUGCCGGUUUCGCAGAUGGAGAAGGUAGUUUCAAUGUCUCUUUCAGAAAACGCGAUGAUUAUAAUCAGGGGUUUAAAAUUUCCUUAUGUUUUAAUGUAUCGCAGAAAGAGAAAGUGAUACUGACUCUCUUUAAAAAACACUUAAACUGUGGAACUUUAAGACAGAGAAAGGAUGGGGUUUGGUACUACGAAGUCAACAAUUUGACUGCAAUCAACGAAAAAGUGAUACCAUUCUUCAAAAGAUUUAGAUUCCUUUCUCAGAAGAAAAAACGGGAUUUUUCAAAAUUCUGUCAGAUAGCUGAA
rnacentral:rRNA from 1 species